AAUUCGCUUGAAACAAGUUAUUGUGGUUAUAUUUAAUCUCUUUUGCGAGAACAUUUUUUCUUUAGAAUAGUUAUUGUUCAAAAUAAUGAUUGUUUGAGCAUAUCUAUAUUCAAAAAAAGAUAUAUUCAUGUUCAAAAUAGCUGGCAUUCAAGUACAAUUAUUUCUUCUGAACAGCUUCGAUGUUCUGCAAAGAUAUUUCACACUCUACUUCUUCAUCAAAACAGAAGAACUGAAGAUAAGCUUAGAAUAUUGUAAGAUUCUUAAGUUAGUUUCACUCUCGGGAUCUUCCAAAGAGUUUGGUUUAAUGAAUGGAUCAAAUAUGAAGGGUCCAAGUCAUUAAGAGUCAAACUAUUGUUUUCCAUUCUUCUCCAGGUAUAGAACUUUCUCUCUCAUUUUUAAUCUUUUCCAUUACAUUCAAUAAGUUCAAGUUAUGACCUAUUGAGUAAAGUUUCUAGUUCAUUUGCUGGUUUUAGUUUUCUUAGUUUGAUGUAUUUAGUGUUCUUCACAUUACUAGUUUUGAUUGCCGGUUGAGUAUGCCAAUUCAAUUUCAGGUUUUAAUACUGUCUCAGUCUCUUAUGUAAAAAUUAUUAGUAUCUAUGAUUCCAAUAACUAGGAAAUUUGGAAAAAUGAAUCGUUCACCCCGAGAGUACGAAGUUAUAGUGUAAUCAAGGAACAUACAGUUGGUAUGACAUCAUUUUGCUUGCAAAAUAUGACAUGAGGUAACUUUUAAAGCUAGGAACAAUUAAGCCACCAUGUUGCUCUAAAUGGAAGUCUUUCCCUUAACUUCUUACCUUAUACUUGGAACGACGCUCGGCAAUAUGAUCGACUGAAAGAACUUCAAGAGGACAAGUGGCUAGUCUUUUUUUUAUUUUAGUUCAUCAUAUCACAUGUGAACCGUUUUGCCAAAAAAUAAACUACAUGGAUUUAUGAGAACAAAUUUAUCUCAGACAUGAACUAAGCUUCUUGAGCUAUAUGAUGUUGAGCUGAAUGGUUUCAUAGUAGAUUGAGUCCUAUCAGUUUGUAUGCAUGGCUGUCUUAUAUAGCUCAGAGUUGUUGGCCUUUGUGCUUGCAUGGUUAGCAUUUAGUGUAGUAUGAACCCUAUAUGUUAUGUUACAUUAAAGGGACAUUUGGUUCAAAGAAUGUAAUAUUAUUUUUGGUAUUAUUUUUGGUAACAGAAUUACUAAGUCAAAUGUCGGGUAUCUUUCUAUUUGCUUCAUUUGACUAGAAUGUAGGAUUGUGGUGUUUGGUUGACGGAAUGUAAAAUUAGCAAAAAAAUAAAUUUUACUAAAUUGUUCUUGAUAAUAA